CACUAGAAAAUGGACUGAUGAUGUCAGCAUUCCCACUCGCCAUCACGAGGCAGUUGCCACAACAACAAAUAGAGUGCCCCUCCCGCUUGUGUCUCACUUCCCCAUCCAUCCUCACGGCCACCGAGGGAGGGGUCCCACUCCAUCACCAUAGCAUGCAUGGCUUGGGGAACAGCAGUGGAUCCAGUGCAGGGAGAUGGAUGAGACUGCACCUGUCUUAUGACCCCAACACCAGCGAGGCCCAUGUCAGUGAACCUGUGACCCUCACCCGCCCUGGACUGCUUCAGCCAGGAGCCAAGUGAGGCAGAGAAGGCUGGAAACGCUAGCUGUACAUUGAGAGAGCGGGCCCAUCUCUCCACAUUCAAUGUGGGAUACAGAUGCAAUGCCCGGAACCAUAAGACCCAUUUGUCACCUCAAGAGAAGCUGGCCUGAGAUUGAAUCUGAUGCAUCAGCAGAGCCAAAAGAAACCAAGUGAACUGGAGCCUUCAUCAAACUGCACCUGAAGCCCCACGACCGCUUUACAAAACCCAUGUAUCCCCACAAAGCCAGCUCUGCACAGUUUUGGUGAAAGGCCAGGCAGGCGGCUACAGGGUCCAGGAAACCUGACCCAAGCAUCCCUCUCCCAGCACUCCUGUGCGAGGUCUGCACAGCUGCCAGCUCGGCGGCUCCUGUACUACCAGCCAGGUGGUGCCGUUGCUGCCAGCAGUCAGGUGACUGAGGAGUCUGCGAGGCCUGCCUGGGGGGUGUGUCACCUGAGGCCCAUUUGCCCUAGCGCCCUGCCCUAGUCUGCCGGGGCCAGAACCGACCUGAGUACGGAGGCUCUCGCAUUUGCUUGUCAUUACUUAAGAUGCCGUUUAGAAGCACCUCAUGUCCCGCGUAUCUCAUACCUGCUCAUUUACUCCCAUGACCACCUGUGUUUUACAGACGAAGACACAAGGCCCUGAGUCACAAAAGCACCUGCAGGCUGGAGCUGGUGAACUCGAGUGGUUAAUCGGCGCUCCCGCCCCUCUGUCCGUGUUCCUAGUGACUGCGACGCCCCUGCCGGUCCCUCGGCUGAGGGGGCUGUGGGAAGAGCCUGUGGCUGGGCUGGUUUGAUUUCCUGGUUCCUGCCCUUUCCCAGUAGGUACACUGCCCCGUCCUAGACCUGGCAACACCCCAGGAGUGACUCCAUGUAGACCACGGCCCAGUUUCAUGAGCAGGUGAUGCCCAAGUCAACACAACGCAGUGGUGUUGGUGCACAGACCCAGGGA
rnacentral:lncRNA from 1 species